rnacentral:rRNA from 1 species
UACGAAGGGGGCUAGCGUUGCUCGGAAUUACUGGGCGUAAAGCGCACGUAGGCGGCUUUCUAAGUCGGGGGUGAAAUCCUGGAGCUCAACUCCAGAACUGCCUUCGAUACUGGAGAGCUCGAGUCCGGGAGAGGUGAGUGGAACUGCGAGUGUAGAGGUGAAAUUCGUAGAUAUUCGCAAGAACACCAGUGGCGAAGGCGGCUCACUGGCCCGGUACUGACGCUGAGGCGCGAAAGCUAGGGGAGCAAACGGG